UAGUCCACGCCGUAAACGAUGUCUACUUGGAGGUUGUGGCCUUGAGCCGUGGCUUUCGGAGCUAACGCGUUAAGUAGACCGCCUGGGGAGUACGGUCGCAAGAUUAAAACUCAAAUGAAUUGACGGGGGCCCGCACAAGCGGUGGAGCAUGUGGUUUAAUUCGAUGCAACGCGAAGAACCUUACCUACUCUUGACAUCCAGAGAAUCCAGCGGAGACGCAGGAGUGCCUUCGGGAGCUCUGAGACAGGUGCUGCAUGGCUGUCGUCAGCUCGUGUUGUGAAAUGUUGGGUUAAGUCCCGCAACGAGCGCAACCCUUAUCCUUGUUUGCCAGCGAGUCAUGUCGGGAACUCCAGGGAGACUGCCGGUGAUAAACCGGAGGAAGGUGAGGAUGACGUCAAGUCAGCAUGCCCCUUAUGCUCUGGGCUACACACGUGCUACAAUGGCCGAGACAAAGAGUUGCUACUUUGUGAAAACAGCUAAUCUCAUAAACGCGGCCU
rnacentral:rRNA from 1 species